rnacentral:lncRNA from 1 species
UCCUAAUGAGCUUGCCACCAAGACUGCUCCAGCUGCUAAGGCAGACCUCCCUCAGAAAAUGAACUCUGCCAAGCUGUCUACUAUUGCUGACAAGUUAGACUUCCCUCCCAAAAAGAUGUCUGCCACUAAUGAAUCCAUUCUAAAGUAGCCUUUAAAGUCCACGGAAAUUGAGUGGGUAGUGGAAUUGGGGGAGGCUGUUGAAAAACUGGCGCCUCGUGUAUCUCUUGAUAUGUCCCCUCUCUUUGCUCUGCCUGCUCUACCUGCUGAGCGUCUCAACGACCGCAUCCUCGACCACGUCCCUGCAUCCGAGCUCUUUGUAGUACAUGGCCCCACUGAUUACGACGAGAGCGGAUCCCAUCCAGAUCCAAAGAAGCAACAUCGAUAUUUAUGUUCAUGGACUCCAAAAUCUCCACCCCAAGAUAAAUCGUCGAAGGGACAGGUGGCACAGGCACUCCAUCCCAAGUGUUGUCCAACCCCUUCUCGUGUAUAAUCCUAUAAACAAACUGUCCAC